GACGAACCGUGCGAACGUUGUUCGGAAUCACUGGGCUUAAAGGGCGCGUAGGCGGGCAAGCAAGUCCGGGGUGAAAUCUUUCGGCUCAACCGGAAAAGUGCCUUGGAUACUGCUUGUCUCGAGGGAGGUAGGGGUUGCUGGAACUUCCGGUGGAGCGGUGAAAUGCGUUGAUAUCGGAAGGAACGCCGGUGGCGAAAGCGGCUCACUGGACCACAACUGACGCUGAGGCGCGAAAGCUAGGGGAGCAAACAGG
rnacentral:rRNA from 1 species